GAUUUUUAACAUACUGUGGUAUUUUAUAGAAGAAAGGCUAAAGAAUCUGGCUUGCUCUUUUUCUCAGGGUAAUGAUCCAAUAAGUUGAAGGAAAUCCUGCCCAAAGGAGGAAUAAUGAAGUGGAUGGCAUGAAGAUGAAGGCCAGGGGGUGCUGGAGUCCAGGAUCUCUUUAAAGCAGUUCAUGUGCUCUGGACUCUCACAGAUGUCAGGAGUCUGGAAUGGCAGGUGGUACUUUAGAGCCCAUAAGACAGCAUGGGCUACAACAGGCACGUUUAAAACAGGCACGACCGGCCUCUAGCAAGAUGUGCUAGGUGAAGUUUCACUAUUGGAGAGUGAGACUAGAAAUGAGCCCGAACAAAUCAGUAGUAGCAGAUGAUCCAAGAGGAGGUGUUUUCUGCUGCCCCUCAAUGGAAUUACAAAGUAAGCAAAGAGAUUAUGUCUCCCAAGAUGAUGUCAAUACAGCUCAGUGUCAGAGUGUCCAGGGGAUGCAGUCGGGGGGUUGCGCCUGAGAUAUCCUUGCCAGAUAGAAUGAGUGGACA
rnacentral:lncRNA from 1 species